ensembl:lncRNA
GUUCGAUAUUCGCAGAUAUGCUGAAAUUAAGGGACCGUCUCUAAAGUUACAUAUGACACUGUUAUACACAUUUCUAACUUCAAUAGCAUUUGAAGGGAAUGACUUAGUCACACAACCAACUGUAAAGUGUUCAUCUGGGUGUCAGAUUGUGGAUGGGAGCCAAAGGAAUUCAAAAUUAUUUACGUUGGCAGCACUCCAGUCUACCUUUUGAGCCCUCAACUUCCCUGUCACAAGAAUAAUCCUCAUCCCUCCUUUCUUCUGUACCAUUCUGCUUAUUGUGCCCUGAACAUGCAUCAUGAUUAGCAUUAUCAUCCAUCCAUCCAUCUUCUAUACCGCUUUAUCCUUUUCAGGGUCACGGGGAAACCUGGAGCCUAUCCCAGGGAGCAUCGGGCACAAGGCAGGGUACACCCUGGACAUGGUGCCAGUCCAUCGCAGGGCACAAUCACAUACACAUUCAUUCAUACACUACGGACACUUUGGAAAUGCCAAUCAGCCUACCAUGCAUGUCUUUGGACUGGGGAAGGAAACCGGAGUACCCAGAGGAAACCCCCACAGCACGGGGAGAACAUGCAAACUCCACACACACAGCGCCACGUCGGCAAUCGAACCCCCGACCCUGGUGAGGCAAACGUGCUAACUAGCAUUAUCAUCUUCAUUUCAACAAUUGUCAGGAGUUCAAGAGGUUAAUGAUUUUGAAUACUGUUAUCUAUCUAUAGAUAGAUAGAUAGAUAGAUAGAUGGGGGGGGGGGGGGGGGGGGUGAAUUAGCUAUCUCAUUGGCUCUGCUCGGGGUAUGGCUUCAGCAGGACCCUUAUUUUGGUAGAUGCAUAUUUGGUAGACGUCUGGGUGAUUCGCAGUUCCUUGCUCCCUGCCAUUCGCUUCCAUUUCCGUUCAGUCUUAGAACCGCGCGUGCAUUGUGGCGAGUUGGCGGCGGAGAUCGCGCCGGAGAUCGUGUUCAGUGAUCGCAACAUUAGCCGGUGGCUGAAUGAUAUGUAUAUGAGCCAGUGAGUCUUGGUGGGACAGGGGAAGCUAGCUGCAUUUAUUCGCUACGCUCAGUGUGCCAACACAACUUCCCUCUGGUGUAGGUAGUGUUUGAGUUUUGGUGUGACUUGAGGUGGGUUUGGAUGACCUCCUGAGCUGUAGCUGGCCUGCCUUGUUUCUGCCAAGCCUGGGCCUGUAGAAGUGCUGUUUUAAAAUCCUUAUUGUACUUCAUGGGAGAGUGACUUUAUAUUUAUGUUAAGUGUCAUAAUAAAAUGUCAUUUUUAUAUUUGUACUCAUGUCUCACACUCAUGUUCUUUACCCCGAUAGGUAAAAAUUUGGAUAAACGUUUCCCUCCACUUAGGAAUGCUAUAUAAUACGUAUACCUCUUGAACUCCUGACAGUUUUUGUAAUGAGUUUUGGUGGACUAGAUAUACUAUGCUGCUGAGCAUGUACUAAGAUUUACUCAGCUAAAAAUAAUCAACAUACUGAAAUAACAAAAAGCUGCUGCUGCAAAGAUAGAUUAAAAGGGAACCCUGUGGGCUAAAUAGAGAGCUCUCAUGUGUGUCUACAGAAAUAUACAUAUAAUCUCAUACAUAUGUACAUGUAAAAUGUACACAAUACAUAUUCACACUGUCUCUGCUACUACCAAAACACUAAGCAUUAUUCCUGUGGAAAUAUUCUGUUUUAAGGCCUGGUUUAGAAAAUGCAGUUAGGUAUUGACCCAAACUCUUUUUUUUUUUUUGGUUAAUUCAAAGAGAGAAAAUGUUGAGAAAGAUGAGAAUUGAUUAGGUGAGUGAGGGGCACAAUAAACUCAAUGAAACAAAAGGAAAGAAGAGAUGAAGACUAUCCUUGUGAUUGGGAAGAUGAUCAUGCUAGUAAUGAUGAUGCAUGUUCAGGACACAAUAAACAAUGGUACAGAGGAAAGGAAGAACCAGGAUUAUUCUUGUGACAGGGAAGUUGAGGGCUCAAAAAGUUACAUAUGGCUUAAUAGUUUGAUUUAAUAAAUAUAAAAAAUCUAAAAGGUGUGCGUCACACCUGACGCCUAGAUGAACACUUUACAGUUGGUUGUGUGACUGUAAGCCAUUCCCUUCAAAUGCUAUUGUAGUUAGAAACGUGUUUAACACUGUUGUAUGUAACGUUAAAGACAGUCCCUUAACCCCGACCCAUUUCUCCUUUUAGGAAAAAUAUGGGGAAUAUGAAACUGACCAAAUGGACCACAUAGAACACAUUUCUGAAGUUGUUUUUGAAAUACAACUUCUCCUUGUGAGAGAUCUGUAAUGUUACAUGUAUGUCACAUUGGGUGUUUAGAGUAAAUUUUGUUACGUUACAUUGGGUGUUUAUUCCUCAACUGGAAAUUUUUUUUUAUUUUUUUUUGCGUAAUAACAGAUUUUCCUGUUUAUUUGCUUUUCCACAACAUAUGAAAAUGAUUACUUUGCUGGGUAGGUAUAACAAAAAUAUUUUUCAGAAUAGUUUUAGCAUUUUAUUUGCUUUACCACAACAUAUUUUAAAACUACAUAACUGUGACCAUUAAGUUUAAAAACAAUUUUUCAGAGUUUUUUUCCACAUCUCAAAACUAUAACUUUGAUGGUUAUAGUUAUGUAGUUAUACAACAACUUAAUUUGAAAAGGAAAAAAAAAACAAACAAACAAAAAAAACAGCCUUUUUACUUGCAUUUCCAUAACAUAUCAAAAUGAUAACUUUUCGGGAAAGGCUUAACCACAAAUUAAAACAUGAAUAUGUGCAAACUGAAUAAAAUAAAUAACUACCUCACACUGGAGGUCUUCUCAACAAGCUAAACAUGUAAAUAGUGCAACAACAUUGUAAAAACAUGUCCCUUGCUUGGCAAAACUUCUCAUUUUCAAGCUGACAACCAGCUAAGCGAUUGCAAUGGAGUGUUCCUACAAAGUAGAUCUGUCGCUGAAGAAGCUGGAGAACCAGUGCUGGAGAGGAAAAAAAAAUU